UGCAGUCGAGCGGACAGAAGGGAGCUUGCUCCCGGAUGUUAGCGGCGGACGGGUGAGUAACACGUGGGUAACCUGCCUGUAAGACUGGGAUAACUCCGGGAAACCGGAGCUAAUACCGGAUAGUUCCUUGAACCGCAUGGUUCAAGGAUGAAAGACGGUUUCGGCUGUCACUUACAGAUGGACCCGCGGCGCAUUAGCUAGUUGGUGGGGUAAUGGCUCACCAAGGCGACGAUGCGUAGCCGACCUGAGAGGGUGAUCGGCCACACUGGGACUGAGACACGGCCCAGACUCCUACGGGAGGCAGCAGUAGGGAAUCUUCCGCAAUGGACGAAAGUCUGACGGAGCAACGCCGCGUGAGUGAUGAAGGUUUUCGGAUCGUAAAGCUCUGUUGUUAGGGAAGAACAAGUGCGAGAGUAACUGCUCGCACCUUGACGGUACCUAACCAGAAAGCCACGGCUAACUACGUGCCAGCAGCCGCGGUAAUACGUAGGUGGCAAGCGUUGUCCGGAAUUAUUGGGCGUAAAGGGCUCGCAGGCGGUUUCUUAAGUCUGAUGUGAAAGCCCCCGGCUCAACCGGGGAGGGUCAUUGGAAACUGGGAAACUUGAGUGCAGAAGAGGAGAGUGGAAUUCCACGUGUAGCGGUGAAAUGCGUAGAGAUGUGGAGGAACACCAGUGGCGAAGGCGACUCUCUGGUCUGUAACUGACGCUGAGGAGCGAAAGCGUGGGGGAGCGAACAGGAUUAGAUACCCUGGUAGUCCACGCCGUAAACGAUGAGUGCUAAGUGUUAGGGGGUUUCCGCCCCUUAGUGCUGCAGCUAACGCAUUAAGCACUCCGCCUGGGGAGUACGGUCGCAAGACUGAAACUCAAGGAAUUGACGGGGGCCCGCACAAGCGGUG
rnacentral:rRNA from 1 species